UCCAUGGUGAUCGCUGGCUGACAGAUCUAGGGUCAGUUUUACACUUUUACUAACACGACAGUCGUUGGACUGAUGCUGCACAAGGCUGAUUUCUGAUCAGUAGGCUUACACGAGAUGACCACUGCGUGUCGCCUGCUGCCCCUAUAGUCGCUUAUUUAUCGUGAAAGAUCUGGCAACCCCGCACCAGCGAUGCUGAGGAGCACUGUGUCACCUGCAGUUCCUUCACGAGAGACCGCAUCCACUAACUGCCUGGACAGUCUAAUUUGGACAAUAAGUGAGUGACAUUAAGAUGAAGAGAAGAAACGAUAUUGAGAGCUUCUUUAUCAAGAAAAAAAAAAGAGUCAGAGUCAGCUACAGCCAGUACCAGCACCAGUGCAGAUGCCCACACAAGCCAGCAGCCUAGGGAUAGUGUUGAUGAGCAGUCCACUACCCCAAUACAAGAUGUUGACCAGCCACAUUUGGAGGAGGAGGAGACGGACUGUGAAUCUGUGUUGUCUGGAUCUCCACCUACUGAGCAUGGUAUGUCAGG